AUGCAAAUCGCCCAGGAAUCUUGUUGAGAUGAAGAUUCUGAUUCAGUGGAUCUGGGUUGUAGUCUGAGAUUCUGGAUUUCUAACAAUCUCCUGGGUGAUACUGCU
rnacentral:pre_miRNA from 1 species